AACGAACGCUGGCGGCAGGCUUAACACAUGCAAGUCGAACGGGCGUAGCAAUACGUCAGUGGCAGACGGGUGAGUAACACGUGGGAACCUUCCUAGGGGUACGGAACAACUCAGGGAAACUUGAGCUAAUACCGUAUACGUCCGUGAGGAGAAAGAUUUAUCGCCCUUAGACGGGCCCGCGUCGGAUUAGCUAGUUGGUGGGGUAACGGCCUACCAAGGCGACGAUCCGUAGCUGAUCUUAGAGGAUGAUCAGCCACACUGGGACUGAGACACGGCCCAGACUCCUACGGGAGGCAGCAGUGGGGAAUCUUGGACAAUGGGCGCAAGCCUGAUCCAGCCAUGCCGCGUGAGUGAAGAAGGCCUUAGGGUUGUAAAGCUCUUUUACCAGGGACGAUAAUGACGGUACCUGGAGAAUAAGCCCCGGCAAACUUCGUGCCAGCCGCCGCCGUAA
rnacentral:rRNA from 1 species